UGUAGCUAAGUGUGUAAGUUAAAAAUACGAAAGCAUAUAAAUGCAAUAAUUUCCAAUGAGAACGGAACAUAUAGUCAAAAUAAAAGCCUCUGUGUACACCAGGUGCUGAUUUCAAAUAGAAUGAUGGCAAAGCAUAAGGAUCCGGAUCAUUAUUGAUGUUCUCGUGGAGAAUUCCUAUCGGAGAGAGGUACGGAAAGGAAGUCCAAGUUGUCAGAUUCUCUUGUUGAAAGAUUUGUUCAAUAAGAAUGUUGUCAUGUGUUGAAAGCUUUUCAACAAAACUUUUUUGUUGUACCAUGGCAUAUCGGCAAAAAGUAUUACACGUUCAAAGAUUUCAAUCUCCUUGGCCACCGUUGGCGACAUAGUGAACCAAAUGGGAAACCCGUAGAUGAGGACCGAUCUGAUUGCAACUUUAUAAAUUAGAAGUUUUGUCCUUAUUGAUGGUAGGUGGAAGAAUAUCACAGGAUGCAGCUUCAAGGUCUCUACGAAAUAAGUCCCAAUUGGUGUUUUUGUAAGAUGUUAUUACUGACGGAUUUCUAAGAUGUAGAUUUCCUGAUCCGAAUUCCAGUUUUAAAUUCAGU